rnacentral:rRNA from 1 species
UUGGCCUUGACAUACUAAGAACUUUCCAGAGAUGGAUUGGUGCCUUCGGGAACUUAGAUACAGGUGCUGCAUGGCUGUCGUCAGCUCGUGUCGUGAGAUGUUGGGUUAAGUCCGCAACGAGCGCAACCUUUCCUUAUUUGCCAGCGGGUAAUGCCGGGAACUUUAAGGAUACUGCCAGUGACAAACUGGAGGAAGGCGGGGACGACGUCAAGUCAUCAUGGCCCUUACGGCCAGGGCUACACACGUGCUACAAUGGUCGGUACAAAGGGUUGCUACCUCGCGAGAGGAUGCUAAUCUCAAAAAGCCGAUCGUAGUCCGGAUCGCAGUCUGCAACUCGACUGCGUGAAGUCGGAAUCGCUAGUAAUCGCGGAUCAGAAUGCCGCGGUGAAUACGUUCCCGGGCCUUGUACACACCGCCCGUCACACCAUGGGAGUUUGUUGCACCAGAAGUAGGUAGUCUAACCGCAAGGAGGACGCUUACCACGGUGUGGCCGAUGACUGGGGUGAAGUCGUAACAAGGUAGGCGUAGAUGA